GGUGAAUACAGCUCAGUGGUACAGUGCAUGCUUAGCAUGCAUGAGGUCCUGGGUUCAAUCCCCACUAACGCCA
rnacentral:tRNA from 1 species